UACGAGGGGGGCAAGCGUUGUUCGGAAUUACUGGGCGUAAAGCGUGCGUAGGUGGUUGUUUAAGUCUGUUGUGAAAGCCCUGGGCUCAACCUGGGAAUUGCAGUGGAUACUGGGCGACUAGAGUGUGGUAGAGGGUAGUGGAAUUCCCGGUGUAGCAGUGAAAUGCGUAGAGAUCGGGAGGAACAUCCAUGGCGAAGGCAGCUACCUGGACCAACACUGACACUGAGGCACGAAAGCGUGGGGAGCAAACAGG
rnacentral:rRNA from 1 species